rnacentral:rRNA from 1 species
CGUAGGAGGCAAGCGUUAUCCGGAGUUACUGGGCGUAAAGCGCAUGUAGGCGGUUGGGCAAGUGGCGUGUGAAAGCUCCCGGCUAAACUGGGAGACGACAGGUCAGACUGCCGAACUGGAGUCCGAUAGAGGAGCGUAGAAUUCCGGGUGUAGCGGUGAAAUGUGUAGAGAUCCGGAGGAAUACCAGUGGCGCAAGCGGCGCUCUGGGUCGGGACUGACGCUGAGAUGCGAAAGCGUGGGGAGCGAACGGGAUUAGAGACCCCGGUAGUCCACGCCGUAAACGAUGCGAACUGGGUGUUCACUUUCCGACAGGAGAGGGAGUGCCGAAGCUAACGCGCUAAGUUCGCCGCCUGGGGAGUACGGUCGCAAGACUA